CAACGCCGCGUAGAGGAUGAAGUCCCUUGGGACGUAAACUCCUUUCGACCCGGACGAUAAUGACGGUACGGGUGGAAGAAGCCCGGCUAACUUCGUGC
rnacentral:rRNA from 1 species